UACGUAGGGGGCUAGCGUUGUCCGGAAUUAUUGGGCGUAAAGAGCGUGUAGGCGGUCCGGUAAGUCGGCUGUGAAAGUCCAGGGCUCAACCCUGGGAUGCCGGUGGAUACUGCCGGGCUAGAAUCCGGAAGAGGCGAGUGGAAUCCUGGUGUAGCGGUGGAAUGCGCAGAUAUCAGGAGGAACACCAAUUGCGAAGGCAGCUCGCUGGGACGUAACUGACGCUGAGACGCGAAAGCGUGGGGAGCAAACAGG
rnacentral:rRNA from 1 species